GGGGGUGAUCGGUUUCGACUUGGGACGGUAGUCGCAAGAGAAGCGGGCCGAGGAACCAUGCUUAUCUCGUUAACGCGCAUGGGAACAAAUAAGUGCCAAGAACAAUCGCACUGACUUCGCUCUCGCUGCCUGAUCAGCGAUCGAAGGGUCAGCCCGGACAUGCCUUCGGUCCGGUGCCUGGCCUCGUCUAGAGGGCUUGCUGCUUGACCUGUGUAUCAGGGGUUGGGCAGGACGCUACUGAUACUGGGCCUGUUGGUGACGCGCUCAUGCGAGCGCCAGGGCCAAGAACACGUCUUCAUGAGCUGCGCCCGGAGAAGACUGGCUUCGCCGCUUAAGGACGCGGGUUCGAUUCCCGCCGCCUCCACCC
rnacentral:tmRNA from 1 species